CUCGCCGGCUCCUACGCAUCGUGUCGGGGAAGGAAUACGUGGGUGUGCUGUUCGAUGAUUGAGAUCAAACAGCAGAUGUGCCGUGGAGCUGCCACACCUUCCUUACGGGAGCCGCCUAUGAAGCGACGCAAGGACAGCACCAGACGGGCAAGUCAAACCCAACUCCUGUCGAUCCAACGGGUUUCGGUCCUCUUCGUCCGCCCUUGGCUCGAUCUUGACCGUUGAUCCAUGGCAUCACUCUUUUAUUAUGUUGUCUCCUCCUCUCACUCCGUUGUCGUUCGUUGUUUGUUCUUGCGUCGCCGAGUUCAAAAGCGUCUUCCUUCCCCUUUCCUCUCCCUGUAUACCCGUCGCCGUUCCUUGCUCGCCCGAUCACCGCCACGAGCCGCCGCCCUCGUCGCAGUGCCGGCAUUGAUCGGGCCCUGCCGGAUCGGGCCGACGGGGCGGCAAUGAUGAUGAGGCGGGUGGCGGCAUCGCUGGUGCCGCCGUGGCUGGAGCCCCUCCUCUCCGCCCACUUCUUUACUGCUUGCCCCCUCCACCGGGACGCUCCCCGCAGCGAGUGCAACAUGUUCUGCAUCGAUUGCGGCCCCGCCUCGUCUUCUUUCUGCUUCUACUGCCGCUCCGACAGCCACGCCGGCCACCGCGUCAUCCAGAUACGGCGGUCGUCGUACCACGACGUGGUGCGGGUGGCGGAGAUCCAGAAGAUGCUCGACAUCAGCGGCGUCCAGACCUACGUCAUUAACAGCGCGCCCGUGCUCUUCCUCAACGAGAGGCCGCAGCCGCGCGGGGGCGGACGCGGAGGCGGCGCCUCCGCUGCUUCCUCAUCCACCUCAACCCCUUACACCUGCGAGAUCUGCUCCCGCUCGCUCCUCGAUCCCUUCCGCUUCUGCUCCCUCGGCUGCAAGUUGGCGGGGGUAAAGCGGAACAGCGACGCGACCUUCGUCCUGAACCCCGGCGACGUGGAGCCGAGCGACGGCGGCGGGGGCAUAAGGGAUUCAUCGUCGACGGCGGCGGAGGAGAGCAAGUCCGGACGAAGGGGAAGGUCGAGCGGGGGAUCGCGCGAGGGAACGAGGCACGAAGCCCGAGGCCCGGCGCCUCCUCCUCCCGCUCCCAACUCGAGGAGGCGGAAGGGGAUCCCCCGCCGCGCCCCCUUCGCCUCCUGACCUUCCCCAGCUUGUAAAUUACUAAACCAGACGAAGAAGACGAAGAAGAAGAAGCAAACAGUACUGCAUAGAUUACUACUAUAAUGAAAAGCGUCAUUCAGAUUCCGACGUUUCCCGAGAGAGAGAGAGAGAGAGAGAGAGAAUAGUGCUGCUCUCAGCACCAGCAUACAACGACGACGGAGAGGGAAAGCGAGCGUGAAGUAGAUCAUUGUAAUAAGUGCAUCCAAGUGAAAUAGUACGACCGACACAAAUUCUUUACUUCCAAAGCUGCUCGUCGUCAACCAGAAGCCAAAGGAAGUAUACGCUGCAGCAGCAACAGCACUGUCUUUACCUUUUCACCUCCAUGGUCGGGACUCGUUCGCAGACACUUGUGGUAACCUUAACCCAAACACGGUUGAGGAAAGCUCGGUAUCUUCUUCGUUCAUCGGAAAAGGCAGUCGAGGGAGAUAAGAAAUACAAGUAGGUCCAAAAGAUCAAGCAUGUACUUCCAAUCACCUCAGAGUAGGGUGGUGUGCGCCGAGGCUGUGCAUUGCAAUCAAUGGGAGCAGGACCCGGUGGGGCGAACCCAGCACAUGGAUGAUGAUUGGGAUUUGGAGUGGAAACAUUUGUUGGAGCAAUUACUUUUACAGGAAGAAGAGAAGAGACCACAAGUAGUUUACAUAAAAUACCACACUGUGGAGUCCCCUCCGAAAGGACCACCAUGGCUUUUCACAUCUCGGGUGAGGACCACGAUGGAGAAGACAGAGGGGAGGAGGGGAGGAGUGUUUAGUUCCAUGGCUAGUUUAGUCGAUUAGGUCUGUGGUCGAGUUGCAUUAUUGGGUGGGUUGUUGUCACACACCAUCUUGCACAUCUGUCAAUCACUAAGAACAAUAAGAAUCAAUUGAUGCCCUGCUCGAUCGAGU